UACAUGUGGGGCAAGCGUUGUUCGGAAUUACUGGGCAUAAAGGGUGCGUAGGUGGCUUGUUAAGUCAGGGGUGAAAGUUUUCGGCCCAACCGGAAAAUGGCCUUUGAUACUGGCGAGCUCGAGUGCGUGAGGGGUAACCGGAACGAGCAGUGUAGCGGUGAAAUGCGUAGAUAUUGCUCGGAAGGCCAACGGCGAAGGCAGGUUACUGGUGCGCAACUGACACUGAGGCACGAAAGCGUGGGGGAGCAAACAGGG
rnacentral:rRNA from 1 species